ACCAGCAGGUCCAGUGGAUGAAGGCAGGGGGCAACUCAGCAUCUCCCUCCGGCUGUGGCAGGUCUCUUCCUGGCCCCAUCUUUGCUUUCUGCGCUGUUCUUUAGUAUUUCUAAGCAGCUGUUUUACAGACCUGCUGCCUGUGCACCUGUGGGAUGCUCAAAGUACAGUCUCUCCAGCUGCUUCUGUAGUCCCCUUCUGCCCUUGCAGCCUGUCCCACUGAGCCUCUGCACCUCUGCAGCAGAGGAUCAAGGACGCCCUUCUCAAAGGUGGCUGUGUGGCCUUGUCUUUCCCCAUUACCAUUCUCCACAAUUUCUACGCCUCUCCUGACUCUGAAGCUCUUCCCAGUUGGUCUCUUUACUAGGGCUUCCAGAGCCCCAUUCCUGCACCUGAACCCUAGCAUUGUAAAGCUGGGCUCCAGGUCAGCCCUACUUGGCCACCAUCAGACCAUGUACCCUGAAGCCUACUCACUGGGACUCCAAGCACAGGACUCACCCUCUCCCAGGCCAGCCCCAGAGGACCAGUGUCCCUGAGAUAUCCUCUAGAACACAGCCAACCACCAUGUACCUACAAUUCAAAGACGUCUCGAAGCCCAAGGAAAUCGGGGACGCCCUGAAUAACCCCAAACGGGGGCGCAAGGUCCUGGCCUCCCAGACCCGCCCCUUUGGCUGAGAGCGAGCCCCGCAGACUCGGCGCCAGCACAGAGAACACACCUGAAUGUCCGCCAUCUUCCCGGCUGCCUGAAAAAAAAGAGAGCGACGGAAGCGUCCGGGUUUCCUUAUUGAUUGCGCAGGGGCUGUAGAGGAAGUGACGAAAGGGGCAGGGUCACAUGGCUUUGGGCGGUGCCUCGAGAGCGACUCUGAUUGACAGGCGGUUUUAACCAAGCAUGUGCAUCGGAAACUGCAAGUGCGCGGCCAUGAUGGUGAAAGACUCAGGGGCGGGAAGUGUGCAUACUAUCUCGCGAGAGUUUCAGGCUCUCAUUGCUCCGGGAGCGUUAGUUCAGAUUGGCUUGUUUGUGUUAUCGCGAGAGUCGUGGGGAAGCCGUCAUUUCCCUGAGGUGUAGGUUCACGUGGGAUUUGGGGACCGCGUGGCUGGGUUCGGUUAGGCUUCAAACCAGAGUUGAUGUGACCAUCUUUAUGGGACAGGCGCCCUGCCGUUCCUAGAAGCAUUGCGGCGGUACCAUCUUUGCGAGGGGCGGAAGCUGCCGGAUCUUUUAGAAGUUGAAUGAAAAAGUUACCCGGCAGUGGCGGGUUUCACUUCCAGAUGGUGAUUUGGAGCCAUUCUUUUGCUUUUUCCGUGUAAGAUGGCGCUAAUAGAACUUACCGCGAUUGUGGAACUAUUGCAUACCUGCGCUUCUAACUCGGUGGGCAGUAGCAUUUGAAAUGUGACUUUUGCGACCGAGAACCCGAAUAUUUGAGUUGUAUUUCAUUAGGCUGUCCGGUGGCAAAGCGCUCACCCGGCAUGGUAGGGUCCUGGGUUCAAUUCCCCACAUCACACACAGUUGUGGGUGCUGGUGACUGUUGAGAUGGGUAAAGGGCUACCCAGGCAGGCCCUUUGCCCUCAGGGGUUCACACUGGCAGAGCCAGCACAUGUAUUUUAGGUGAGGCCUAACGUACUUAUUUAAUAACCAAUUCACUUGCUGUGGUGCUUUGACCCCUGGAGUCAGGCAGUAGGGGGCAUUGUGGCAAUCACAUACUUUGCAGUUGAACUGGAAAGGGGCAGCUUCAGGUUAUUAGGACACUGCAGGCUGUCCCAGGAGGAAACUUGGUCUUUGUGUAAAGUGUGGCCUGCGUGAAGCCUGUUUUUGCUGAGGGCCCACCUCCAUAGUGGACAUAUGCAAAGACGCCAUGUUUCUUCAAAAAUAAUUUAUUUGCUUUCGAUCACAAAACAGAGUUAAGGAAAGGGGUAGUGCAUUUUCCAGUCUUUGCACCUCUAAAACUUGGCCCACUUCAGCAGGUACUCUCCCAUUCUGUCAGCUACAGAGUAUAGGAUGGCCACAUGGUUAAGACAGAUGGGUGCCCCUAUAGCCAAGGAGACCCCCGCUUAGUGUUCCAGCUCAUUUUUUUUUUAAAUACUGCAAGUAACUGGUAGUUCUAUCAUUUUUUAAAAAUUCAUGAAUAAGCAGGUCAUAAAUUCUGACCAUACAACUCUUAAGAAACCUUCUGAAACAGAAGCAGAGACCAAGGCUAAGGCCCUUCUCUGUGUCAGCUUUCCAGGUCCCAAGCUGCCUGUGAACCCAGAGAGCUGUACUGGGUCCCCCAUAUCCCAGGGUGGCGAUGGAGGAAGGGCAGGCCAGGCCACACAUGAGGCAUAAACAGUCUUUAUUGGGCUCAGACUAGGAGUCCAUUGAUCCUGAGGACCUCUGUGAACUUGUUAAUUUUCUUCUCCACAUUCUUUUCUGCCUGUUUUCGUAGCCUCUGUGGGGUUAAAAACACACAAUGGCUUUAGGAGCUGGUUCUCCACCUCAGGCUGGGAUGAAGGCAGAUCUUCUAGGGUAAGACUUUGCCAGCCUGGCCCACCCACAAGCACAGUCCCCUCCAGGGUAACUCCCUGCCCUCACCAUAAGCUGUUUUUUCUUCCGGUAAUGGAUCUUGGCUUUCUCCUUUCUCUUCUCCUCCAAGGUGGCUGUCACUGCCUGGUACUUCCAGCCGACCUCAUGAGCCAGGCGCCCCAGGUAGGCAAACUAGAGGGGCAGAGAAAGUUUUUAAGGGCAUGGAGACAUGGGAGUCCUCUUAACCUAAAGAGCCUGGACUGAGGCCAUGGUGGUCACAAGGGGAGUAACUGUCCUAGAGGAUCAUGGGAAGGGAAUAAUAAUUCAGUCCCCAGCAAGCCCACAUGUGAAGGCGACACACACAUCCUGUGUAAAGGCUCCCUGCUCCUGGCAUCAGCUAAGCCUUUAGCGUUCUCGGCACUGCACACACACACAGUGGCAUCCGCAGACCAUCGUGAGAAAAAACAUCAUUUGCCAGUCUUGAACCUCAGGUUCACCCCAGCAGACCAUAAAACCAAGUUAGAGCUGUUCAACCUGGAACUCACCUUUCUUGUUGGCUUCAGUCGCACAACCUUCAGGGCAGCAGGAACCACCAUCCGCUUUUUCUGUUGGAGGAGAGGGGCUUAAAGACCUAGUGCAGAGACACUAGGCAAAGGAGGCUGGCUGCAUUAGGCGUCUCAGCCAGUUAUGUUUUCAUGAGGCUCAAACAAUGUAGGUAAUUGCGUAACAUCAUGGACGCUGGAUGCACGACACUGUGCUGGGGGCUUGGUGUGGCUCACCUUGUCGUAGGGUGGUGGAAUCCCAUCAAACACCUUGAGGCGGUCCAGGGCAGCCUGGCCUCGUUUGGUCUUGUGGGGCAGCAUGCCUAUGGCAGAAGGAUGCCAGACCUCAGUGGAGCUUAGAGGAUGUUCACCCUUCCCCACCAGGGCAGGCAUGGGGCGGCCUCAGAUGGUAGUGCAUGUGGAGUCAUCUCAUGGUUGGGGAACUCGAACACGAGUGGGAGACGUCCUCAUCACUGGCUGCCUGCUGUCACCACCCACAGCCCCGCGCCCAGCUCACCUCGUACAGUCCUCCAGAAGAUGCGACUGGGGGCCCGGAAGUGGUACGGGCCUCGGGAUGGGUUGGUAUUCAUCCUCUUGCGGAGGAAGGCCAGGUACUUCACUGAGGGAAGGGGAGAAUAUGAGGCUUGCCUUGUCUAUGACAAGACCUAACAGUUCCCAACCAAACCCUAAUGUUCUAGCAAAAAACCUUAACCCCUCUAUGAUCACAGGUUUAACUUACACUUGUUUCUGUAGAAAUUUCCAGAAAUGUUGAUGCCCUCACAGCGCACAACCACCACCUUGCGGCCUAAAGAGAAGGUGAGGCAUUCAAGAAAGGGAAGGAUUAUGAAGGGCAGAAUACAGGGAGAGGGAUCCUCCCUUGCACACAAUUGGCAGAGCUGGGUUCAUACUAAAAUCUGAGCCGGGGAGGGAAGAGUUUGGCUGGCAAGUCUCAGAGCGGUGCAUGGGGUUGAUCUCACAGUCGUGAGACUCAAACGAAAGAUGGUGAUUGUUGCUCAUCACUGACCUGCAAGUGGAACUAAAGGCAGGGAGGACUCUGAGCAGACUUACCCAGCAGUACCUGUUUGGCCACAAUGGCCGCCAGGCGGCCCAGGAGAUGGCCUCGACCAUCCAGCACUAGGACCUGUGGAGACAAGGAAGGGAUGAGGAAACUGACAGCUUUACUCUCCCACCUCAAGAAACCACUCUUUUUCAGUUCACCUUGCCCCAGGGGGCCUCUUCCAGCUCAGACCCAAGACUUGGGUUAAUAGACCAAAGGGAAGCAAAAUGUUGAUCCAGCAUCACCAGGCAGGACAAGACACCAAGGAACUCCCAACUCCCUUCUCCCUUCCUAAGACUGCAUUUUGGAUUGACCCAAACCUGGCAACUCCUGUCCUUGGCUCAUACAGAUACAAAAUUUGUUGUCACCUUUGUCAAACUGCAGGCUUCUAAUAACCCUACUCUCCUUAAGAUGUAAAAUGCAAUUUUUACCAUGGACUUUUUUUAAGUCUGAGACAAUUUCUCAUUAUGUUGCCCAGGCUGACUUCAAAACCCUGGGUUCAAGCAGUCCUCCUGAGUAGCUGGGUACUACAGGCACGCUACCCUUGAUCUUAGCAAGUAUUGUCAAAAGCCCUUGCUGGAUCUGCAUCCCUGGGUCCUCAGCUUCCUCAUCCAGAAUAGAAGCCAUCAACAUUAAUAAAGCACACCAUAAUGCACUAAUGUGACAGUAUAAAAUAAUGGUUGUUAUACAUACUUGUGUAGUUAUUGGAAAGCAGUGCAGGUGGCAUCAAAUCUAAACCUAAGCUAGACUUCCCUACAAUGUGAUCUUGGCCCAAAAUCUACAACUCACCUGAAAAAUGAGGAUAGCAUCUGCCUCAAGACUAUUGCCAAUAAACGGGAAAAACCAGUGCACACUGCUCUUCACAGAUACACAUAGGCUUGAUGACUCUUACCACUUGCCUAGUUCUACCUACCUGGGAAUGAGCCCAAACACCACAGACUUCCAGGGCCAUCCUCUUGGCCCUGCACAUGCCAGGCUAGUGCUCCACCGCUGAGCCACAACCUCAGCGCCCCCAUCCUCUAAUUAUGCCUCACACAUGCUAGGCAAGCGCUCUGCCAUUAGACUACAGCCUCAGCCCCAAGGACCACCCUCUUGGGUACACGUUCAACACAAGACACAGAGCUAAGUUUCUACGGUGUUCCCUGAGGGCCUGGGGGUGAUUUGGGGGACGAUAGUUUGUCCUAUAGCUGUGGAACUGUUAACAGCCCUCUACUUCCAGCAACCCCAAAACAAGGGGGAAAAUAAAGCAAUUCCUGAACACUGGGAAGGCGAGUUUUCUUAACCUACUGCAUAAGGGAAUUUCGCAUUGAAAUGCCACAAGCUGUAGGAAACCUUGAUCCCGAAUCAGGCUGAAGCAGUUAGGCCUUGGGCAUAACGGCAGUGGCCUCCAU